CUCCUGGCUCUAGUGGAAUGCUCUCGAUUCACUCUGCCAACUGUAACCGAAAGAGAAUGGGGGAGGGCAAGCCAAUGGGAAGAGAGAGGGAGGUCCAGUGGCCGAGGGCAGGGAGGACACCUUACGGAGAAGCGCCUUCCCCAGGUGGGCGCAGGCUCCCGCGCGCGCUCAGGUCUCCCACCCAGCGACAAAGGCAGCGGCGCGGGCCGAUGUGGAUCUGGCCCGCUGGCUUUCUUCCCGACCCGCCACGAGCAGGGUCCAGCCUGCCGCCACUCGCCGGAGGCGGCCGGUGCGCGGCCGGGACAAUGUGGCCAUUGUUCGGGCGCAGAAAACCCGGCAGGCGAGCAGAUUGGCAGAGAAGAAAACAUCAUCAAUAAACCCUGACAAAAGUGAACGUGUGAAAAAGAGCAGAGAAUGGAAAAGUGAGAUCAACGUGAUAUCCGGUCACAGAUUCCAGCGGCAGAUGACAAGCCCGGGCCGAAGAAUCUCCCUGGACCAUCACCCCUUUGCGGCUUUCCUUCCCUUUGCAGAAACUCUUCAUUCAAGACAAUAGGAAAUGCAUUAAAACUUUUUUCUUAUGCUAAUGCAUGAAACCGGGCACUCACGUUAAAAUACACUUCCCGCAACUUUUUUUUUCUUUUAAACAGCAUACAUGCACACACAAAACCACCUUAACUUAUUCCAUUUAAACCCCAUAUCUCAAAAACAGUUUAAUAUGAAUCUUUGGUCACAUCUUAAGUGAGUUCUUUUCCCCCAUGGGCAUGUUUUUAAGAAGCCAGAAUCAUAAUAGAAACAGGACUAUACUAAGUAUGCUUCUUAGGUAGAUGAAGGAAUUGGGGGGAAAAUAAGACACUAAAAAGGCAAAAAGUAUCAUUAGUACCUUUUCCCAACACUUUCAACAUAGUUUUGUAGGUUGAGGAUGUUUUUGUCACCUCCAAAAUCUAAAAACAACCAUCAAUGAUUUUUUUUUUUAAUCCUUUUCAGUCCACAGCAAAAUGAACAAACAUCCAAGUACAUUUUGGAAUAAAUAGUAUUGAUUCUGGUGUCA
rnacentral:lncRNA from 1 species